GAUAAAUCCAAAACUUCUUGGCUCCCAGGUCAUCCCUCACAGAACCAAACAAUGGUCCAAUUGUACUUCUACGUCCUUGGGGAAGCCGAAACUCACAAAACAAACCUCACUGUGUUGCACAUGGGGUUUGGAAUCGACGUGCAUUGUCUGGGAAAACAAGGAGGGCAGAAAGGAUAGCUCAAAAAAAGUGGACUAACAGGAAGUGUCUGUUGCCACUCACU
rnacentral:lncRNA from 1 species